AAGAAUUUAAGUUAAAAAAACUAUUAGCCUUCAAAGCUUAAAUCGGAUUGACCUCCAAUUCUUA
rnacentral:tRNA from 1 species